rnacentral:rRNA from 1 species
UACGGGGGGGGUAAGCGUUGUUCGGAAUUACUGGGCGUAAAGAGCGCGCAGGCGGUCGUUCAAGUCGCGUGUGAAAGCCCCCGGCUCAACUGGGGAGGGUCACGCGAUACUGAUCGACUCGAAGGCAGGAGAGGGUAGUGGAAUUCCCGGUGUAGUGGUGAAAUGCGUAGAUAUCGGGAGGAACACCAGUGGCGAAGGCGACUACCUGGCCUGUUCUUGACGCUGAGGCGCGAAAGCUAGGGGAGCAAACGGG